GUUGAACGCUGGCGGCAGGCCUAACACAUGCAAGUCGAACGGUAACAGGAAGAAUCUUGCUUCUUUGCUGGCGAGGGGCGGGCGGGUGAGACAUGUGUGGGAAACUCCCGGCUGGAGGGGGAUAACUACUGGAAACGGUAGCUACUACCGCAUAACGUCGCAAGCACAAAGGGGGGGGCCUUGGGGCGGCUUGCCAUCGGAUGUGCGCUGGUGGGAUGCGCUAGGAGGGGGGGUAAGGGCUCACCUUGGCGGCGGUGCGUAUCUGGUCGGAGGGGAUGAGCAGCCACACUGGAAGUGUGACACGCUCCAGACUCCUACGGGAGCCAGCCGUGGGGAAUAGUGCGCCAGGGGCGGAAGCCUGAUGCAGCCAGGCCGCGUGUAUGAGGAAGGCCUUCGGGUUGUAGAGUACGUUCAGCGGGGAGGAAGGGAGUUACGUUAAUACCGUUGCGCAUUGACGGUACCUGGAGAAGAAGCCCCGGCUAACUUCGUG
rnacentral:rRNA from 1 species